rnacentral:lncRNA from 1 species
GCCACCUGUGAGGGACGAAGCUGAGGCUUGGCUGUCUGGGAUCUAAACUGUGACCUGAUCAAGAUUAAGCAUCUUUCCUUAGGCUAGGAACUGACUGCUGCGCUCACCUGUGACCACCCAGCUCAAGACAAUAGACUUGCCUCCAGCUACGCCCUCUGAGAUAGCAGACCCACCACCUGCUGUGUCCAUCAAGUGCUGUGCCAACAGGGCAAUCUUGUGACUAUUGUGGGAGGGACAUUUCAAUCACAUGUGAAACACCCUGUUUGGGGGUAUAUAACCACUUCGGGAAGAAAGGCCCCGGGCCAUGGUUCCUCAUAAAGCUUUGUUUAAUUUUCUCUUGCUAUUCUGUCUCAUGUGGAUUUAAUUCAUUCUCCGGCCAGACAAACCCACAUUUGGGAAGAGGAAAUGUCUUCCUCCCCUCCACCUUCAUGAAAUUCUUAAUAAUUUUUGCACAAAGGCUUUGCAUUUUCAUUUUGCACUGGGCCUUGAAAGGUUUCUGGUAGAAACUCUUUUGAUUAAGCUAGUUCCAUUCUGUUCCUAGUUUGCUGCGAUUUUUUUUCUUACAGGAUGGGUGGGUAUUGAGAAGAUAAUAAAUAUUCUGUUUUAAUCUAUUAAUGUGGAAAGUUACAUUCAUUGAUUUUUCUAUGAUAAAUCAUCCCUGCAUUCAUAGCCUAAACUCAAUUGGGCAAUGAUGUAUUUUUGAAUAUACUUUAUUUUUUAGAAAAGUUGUAAAUUUACAGAAAAAUUGUAAAGAUAGUGCAGAGUUCCCAUAUACCCCACAUCCAGUUGCCCUUAUCAUUAACAUGUUAUUGUUGGUAUGGUACAUGUGCUGUAAUUAAGGAAUCAAUAGCCCAUAGUUUAUUCAGAUAUCCUUAGUUUUUAUCUAAUAUCUUUUUUCUGUUCAAGGAGCCUAUCCAGGAUACUACAUUAUCUUUAGUUGUCAUGUCUCCUUGGGUUCCUCUAAGUAGGUUGUGAGUUUCUUAGAUUUUCCUUGUUUUGAUGACCUUGACAGUUUGGAGGCAUAGUGAUCAGAUUGGUUUGUAGAAUGACCCUCUAUUGGGAUUUGUCUGAUGUUUCUCUCAUGAUUAGACAGGGGAAGAUCAGGGAAGACAGGGGAAGAUUUUGAGAGGAAGAUCACAUAGGUAUACUGCCGUUGUCAUCACCUCACUUCAAGGGUACGUACCAUCAACAUGAUUUAUCACUACUGAUAUGAUGGUCAUGAUCACCUCCAGAGAGGGGAGACAGGUUGGAAGUUGAGUC